CAGAGAUGAAAUGGGAGGCCGAGGUGCCAUCAGUUUCAGCAUCUUGUUCUCUGACAGCAAAGCAAUUGUCUUCACCGCUCACAAUUGUUUUGUGUUCUGAGAGUUGCCUAAAUCAAAAAGGAAAUGUGUGGGGAUCUGAUAUCUACACAGAGGAUUCUUCUGUUUGUCGAGCUGCCAUCCACUCUGGAAAACUAAGUAACAAAGACAGUAGUGUAAUCGUGGAGAAACUGCCAGGACAGAGUAGCUAUGGGGAGUCCACCAAGCAUGGAGUGAAAACAAAGAGCCAGGGGCCACGGGAGGGCUCAUUUGUUCUCCAUUCUGUAUCGGAUUAUCAGUUCUCUACCCACACAGUCCAUGAAUUUGAUUCCAAGAGACCCCAUGCAGGCAAACAACAUGUAUCAAAAUCAUCAAAAGGAUUUUCCCCUCAUCAUUAGUUAAUUACAUUCACUAGAAAACAGAAGAUGCAGAAUAUUCUAUAUCACAACAUCCCAAUAUCACUCUAUAGGAAUGGUCAAGACAUUGGAAUAAUCUGUAUUAUGAAAACAUAUGCUAUGUAGCACGUCUUCAAAUAGUUUCUAAUCAACCAUGUAAAUGCAAAAUAAAAGCAAUUU